rnacentral:snRNA from 1 species
UUGCUCACUUAAGCAGCACAUAUACUGAAUGAUACAGAGGAGACUAGCAUGGCCUCUUUGGAAGGAUUACAUGCAAAUUUGUGAAGCAUUUCUUAUUUUU